AAAUUGUCUCUAUUAUAAUAUAUAGAAAUUACUUAAGGUGUGAAAAUUCACCUAAAAUAACUAAUAGACGAGAAGACCCUUAGAGCUUUUAAAAAUAUAAGGUAAGAUAUUAUUAAUUUUUUGUUGGGGCAACAUUGUGUCAGUAAAUACACAUAUAUUAUAAUUUAACAAACCGAACGGUGUUAUCAAUGUAUAAGCUACCUAAGGGAUAACAGCAUAAUUUUAUAUUUAAGAUUGUGACCUCGAUGUUGGACUAG
rnacentral:rRNA from 1 species